GGGGGCGUUUUGGAUUCGACGGGGACUGUUCGAGCAUGUACGGCGGGCCGUGGGGCUGCGACCACGUGAUGCACGCAGGUCUAAAUUUAACUGGCAAAGCGAAUCGCUUUACCACUCAAAACAAGCUCGCUCUCGCUGCCUAAUCCAGCGGGACCGUUGCGUGAUGCGUCGCCUGCGCGCGUCGCGUAACGUCAUCUGAGCAGGCUGGCGGCUUCCCUCGUUCGCGGGGAUGCCGCGAGAAAACAGCGAACUUGCCUGUGCACCAGCGUGAUCGUCCGCGGGUCACAGGGACUUCAGUAGACGAUCUACGCCCGUAGAUGUACAUGCGGCGAGGUCUUCGGACGCGGGUUCGAUUCCCGUCGCCUCCACCA
rfam:Alicyclobacillus acidocaldarius subsp. acidocaldarius DSM 446, complete genome.